rnacentral:rRNA from 1 species
UACGUAGGGUGCAAGCGUUGUCCGGAAUUAUUGGGCGUAAAGAGCUCGUAGGCGGUUUGUCGCGUCUGCUGUGAAAAACUCGGGCUUAACCCCGGGCCUGCAGUGGGUACGGGCAGGCUAGAGUUCGGUAGGGGAGACUGGAAUUCCUGGUGUAGCGGUGAAAUGCGCAGAUAUCAGGAGGAACACCGAUGGCGAAGGCAGGUCUCUGGGCCGAUACUGACGCUGAGGAGCGAAAGCGUGGGGAGCGAACAGG